rnacentral:rRNA from 1 species
GACGAACGCUGGCGGCAUGCCUAACACAUGCAAGUCGAACGGGGAUACGAGAGCUUGCUUUUGUAUCUUAGUGGCGGACGGGCGAGUAACGCGUGAGCAACCUGCCCCUCAGUGGGGAAUAACGUCUGGAAACGGACGCUAAUACCGCAUAACACAACGGAGCCGCAUGACUUUGUUGUCAAAGGAUUUAUUCGCUGAAGGAUGGGCUCGCGUCCGAUUAGCUAGAUGGUGGGGUAAAGGCUCACCAUGGCGACGAUCGGUAGCCGAACUGAGAGGUUGAUCGGCCGCAUUGGGACUGAGACACGGCCCAGACUCCUACGGGAGGCAGCAGUGGGGGAUAUUGCGCAAUGGGGGAAACCCUGAUGCAGCAAUGCCGCGUGAGGGAAGAAGGUCUUCGGAUUGUAAACCUAAGUAGCCAGGGACGAUAAUGACGGUA